CACUUGAGUCUUUAUUAUCACUAUUUCUUUCUUUCUUUCUUUUUUUUUUUCAAUCAACACAUUUCCUAGGCAGAGAAGGAAAGUUUCAGGGAAAGGCACCAGAUGCAUUUAAGAAAUCAGAAGCACGUCCUCUGUGACUUCCAUCUAGGUCUAAAAUUCCUGAUGGCCCAUGUCAUCAUCACCUCAGGUGUCCUCAGUGCUGUUUCCAAAACCAGCAAGGUUCUGAAUGACCAGAUUUCUCUGUCCAAGAGUUUUCCUGUGCCACCUCACAAUGCUAACUCUGUGAGGUCACUAAAGGUCAAAAUGGACCGGAAAGCAAUUUCACAGUUGAAACCAAUACGUUUCAAGGGAACGUGACAACAAGGAGCGUUCGCCUACAGCUGAAAACUCAGGUUGGGUCUGCUUGGGACACUGUGAGUGGACGACUUGUAUCUCACUGAGGAAGAGCACACUGGAGUCCCAAGGCCACCCACCCUGGCUGAUCACAGGAGAAAGCUACCCUUCUUCUAGAGCCCGGGUCCACCUGCCCAUGGCGCCACAGCCUGUAGCGUCUUGGCCCUCCAACACCAGCUACCAAUCAAGAAAAUGUCGCCCAGACAUGCUCACAGGCCAAUAUGAGGGAAGCAUUCCUCAGUUCCUCUGUGCCAUAUAGGAAAAGUGUCACAGCUGGAGUGAGAAAUCUGGGAGCGGCAUGAAAAGCAAGAGCCUGGAUGAUCUCAUAAGAAUGAAACCCUGAAAGAGAAAGGACACUUGGAGUUCAUCUGGAUGCUUACAUAACACAGAAACGGAGAGAAGCAGAGUGUAUAUUGAACAACCUUCAAGAAGGAGGGGUAACCGGAAGGGAAGAGGAAGAGGCAGCAUUUUCAAACACUUUUCUAAGAAGAGACUUGGGACAGCAAUGUGCUCAGGUCAGUCAAGAAAAGCUCACGUGGCCAUCUUCAGCCUGGAUAACACCCUCCUGAAGAGGAGCCCCCAGGCCAGAGGAACAUGUACACUCCAUACUCACCACCUCUCUUCAGACUACUCUCCAGAUACCUCAUACCUCUAGGAGUCCUUGCCCAGUGACUCAAUGCUAGUCUCCAAGCUUGCACAGCUUUGCUCUCAGGGUCUCCUCUCCUGAGAUCCAAUUGCACUAGGAGUGGGCACACUUGACCCGAGAACUGGAACAGCUGUUCCUUGACCUUCAGUGUUUGGACAUGUGGACAAGUGUUCCCAGGGCAAGGAAGACCUAGGGCCUCUGAAGAGAAUGGUCUUGGAACUAGCAGCUCCAACAUAGGAAUGUUAAAUAUGAACUCAACCUUCCAGGUGGAUCUGAGGGUACACUGGUCAAGACAGGAGGGUUGAGCAUAUUCUUACUGAACAGGCAGUAACCUAACAUGUAACUUUCAACUAUUUAGACACCAUAUGGUAAUGAUACUCCACUUAAGCCUGUGCCUGGACCCCUGGAUGUUAAAGGGAGGUCCAGGUUAAAGGGUGUGGUGCUUCUAUAGUCUCCUGCCGCAUCUAUGGUUCUUUGAUAUUUUUCCAGACACUGGGGUUGGUCUUGUACUGCUGUUCCCAGACUCUGGGACACUGAGGGGCAUGGUUGUGCCUGACUUAGUAGGUGUGAAGUGCCCUGCCGCCACCACCAUCUGGGUUUCUUGAUCGAUUGCAAGAAUGACAGGGCAAGUUACCUUCCUUGAGCCUUUACCGUGUGCCAAGCACUGGGAUGAAGCAUUUUGUCUCUACUUACUCUUUGCUUCUCCCAGGAACUUCCUGAAACCCACGAAGACCCUGGGAAAAGAAGGAAAAAUGAUUUUCCACAUGGCCAUCAGCGAUAGGCACUCAAAGGGCUGGAAGCCAGGUUUGUCCAAACUCUGAGAUUUGUAAUGG